UACAGAGGGUGCAAGCGUUAAUCGGAUUUACUGGGCGUAAAGGGCGCGUAGGUGGUUGUUUAAGUGAGAUGUGAAAUCCCCGGGCUUAACCUGGGAACUGCAUCCGAUACUGCCGGACUUGAGGGCUGGAGAGGUGUAUGGAAUUCAUGGUGGAGCAGUGAAAUGCGUGGAUAUCAUGAGGAACGCUAAUGGCGUAGGCAGUACACUGGACAGUUCCUGACGCUGAGGCACGAAGGCCAGGGGAGCAAACGGG
rnacentral:rRNA from 1 species